rnacentral:rRNA from 1 species
AAAUUGAAGAGUUUGAUCAUGGCUCAGAUUGAACGCUGGCGGCAGGCCUAACACAUGCAAGUCGAACGGUAACAGGAAGAAGCUUGCUUCUUUGCUGACGAGUGGCGGACGGGUGAGUAAUGUCUGGGAAACUGCCUGAUGGAGGGGGAUAACUACUGGAAACGGUAGCUAAUACCGCAUAACGUCGCAAGACCAAAGAGGGGGACCUUCGGGCCUCUUGCCAUCGGAUGUGCCCAGAUGGGAUUAGCUAGUAGGUGGGGUAACGGCUCACCUAGGCGACGAUCCCUAGCUGGUCUGAGAGGAUGACCAGCCACACUGGAACUGAGACACGGUCCAGACUCCUACGGGAGGCAGCAGUGGGGAAUAUUGCACAAUGGGCGCAAGCCUGAUGCAGCCAUGCCGCGUGUAUGAAGAAGGCCUUCGGGUUGUAAAGUACUUUCAGCGGGGAGGAAGGGAGUAAAGUUAAUACCUUUGCUCAUUGACGUUACCCGCAGAAGAAGCACCGGCUAACUCCGUGCCAGCAGCCGCGGUAAUACGGAGGGUGCAAGCGUUAAUCGGAAUUACUGGGCGUAAAGCGCACGCAGGCGGUUUGUUAAGUCAGAUGUGAAAUCCCCGGGCUCAACCUGGGAACUGCAUCUGAUAC